rnacentral:rRNA from 1 species
GAACGUUAGCGGGAGGCUUAACACAUGCAAGUCGAGCGAGAACGUCACUUCGGUGGCUAGUACAGCGGCGGACGGGUGAGUAACACGUGGAUAAUCUGCCCUUUGGCGGGGGACAACAGCUCGAAAGGGUUGCUAAUACCGCAUAAGUCAUCAAGCCCUUUGGGGUUUGGUGGGAAAGAUGGCCUCUUCUUGAAAGCUAUCACCAGAGGAUGAGUCCGCGUAGCAUCAGCUUGUUGGUGGGGUAAUGGCCUACCAAGGCAAAGACGCUUAGCUGGUCUGAGAGGAUGAUCAGCCACACUGGGACUGAGAUACGGCCCAGACUCCUACGGGAGGCAGCAGUGGGGAAUAUUAGACAAUGGGCGCAAGCCUGAUCUAGCCAUCCCGCGUGAGUGAUGAAGGCUUUCGGGUCGUAAAGCUCUGUGGGGAGAGACGAAACGUCAACGGAACAAUACCCGUUGAUCUGACGGUAUCUCUUUAGCAAGCACCGGCUAACUCCGUGCCAGCAGCCGCGGUAAUACGGAGGGUGCAAACGUUGCUCGGAAUUAUUGGGCGUAAAGCGCACGUAGGCGGCUUGAUAAGUCGGAUGUGAAAGCCCUCGGCUCAACCGGGGAAGUGCAUUCGAAACUGUCAGGCUUGAGUAUGGGAGAGGAUUGUGGAAUUCCCGGUGUAGAGGUGAAAUUCGUAGAUAUCGGGAGGAACACCAGAGGCGAAGGCGACAAUCUGGACCAAUACUGACGCUGAGGUGCGAAAGCGUGGGGA